CUCGAUGGGCUGCUCCUGCACGUCGCCGGGUGUGUGGCUGAGCCCGGCAAGCCGCGGCACCUCGGGCCGGGGAGUCAUCGCCGCAGCCCGCGGCCGGGUCCCGAGGCGACUACACAGGGAGACGACGGCGGCGGCGGGAGCCCCGCCGGGGGUCUGGGACUGGGAACUGCCACCGGCUUCGCGAUGCCAGGAUGGACAAACUAGCCUAUGAUGCUCACCCCCGCCCACCACUUCCGAAACAUUGAGCGGAAGCCAGAGUACCUCCAGCUGGAGAAGUGCAUGCCACCUCCUUACCCUGGGCCCGUGGGAACCAUGUGGUUUAUCCGCGACGGCUGUGGCAUCGCCUGUGCCAUCGUCACCUGGUUUCUGGUCCUCUACGCGGAGUUCGUGGUCCUCUUUGUCAUGCUGAUUCCAUCCCGAGACUACGCGUACAGCAUCAUCAACGGAAUCAUGUUCAACCUGCUGGCCUUCCUGGCCCUGGCCUCCCACUGCCGGGCCAUGCUCACGGACCCCGUGAGGAGCGGUGCCCAAGGGAAACGCUACGAAGGAGUUCAUAGAGAGCCUGCAGCUGAAGCCUGGGCAGGUGGUGUACAAGUGUCCCAAGUGCUGCAGCAUCAAACCCGACCGCGCACACCACUGCAGUGUCUGCAAGCGUUGCAUCCGCAAGAUGGACCACCACUGUCCGUGGGUGAACAACUGUGUCGGCGAGAACAACCAGAAGUACUUUGUCCUGUUUACAAUGUACAUAGCGCUCAUCUCCUUGCACGCCCUCGUCAUGGUGGGAGUCCACUUCCUACACUGCUUCGAGGAAGACUGGACAAAUCUCCCACGAGCCUACGGACUGGACAGGGCAGGACCGGCAGAGGCCCCAGUCUCCCUCCAUGCGAAAGCGCAGCCCCUUACUGUCAGGCCAGCAGAGUGCAGCUCCUUCUCCCCGCCCACCACGGUCAUCCUCCUCAUCCUGCUGUGCUUCGAGGCGCUGCUCUUCCUCAUCUUCACGUCGGUGAUGUUCGGCACGCAGGUGCACUCCAUCUGCACGGACGAGACGUUUCAUCGCAGGUAGGAAAGCAGCAGGCUGUGUGGACGACUCCACAGCACCCUCAGAAUCCUGCCCCCCGGGGGCCAGCUCCAGGGCUGCAGGAGCCACCUCUGAGGGCUGGGGUGUCCUCAGCACUGUGUGGGGCAAACCUCAGGCCUGCCGUCGGUGGCAGUGCUGAAUUAUCAUCAACACAACGGCUCCGCACCUCCCCCUGAGCCUCCUGAGUGUCCCUCUCCAGAGCAGAGGCCUCAGGCAGCCGCUGUGACUCUGCCCCCAGUUUCUAGCUGGACAGAGUGGACGUCCCCAGCUCUCACGUCAGAGAAGAACACUGCACCAGAGACCUGUACACUCCUCCCAACACCAUGGGCCGUGCGGGAGUGCGUCCACGGGAGUGCGUCCCAGCCUGGCUGCGGACAGGAAGAACCCCGCCGAGCUCCUCGCACUCUAGACCAGCGACAAGACGUCUCUGCACAAAGGUGUCCCCUGCGGGGAGCUGUAGGCAGCCAGCCUCUGACGAGGGCCCUGGAAAUGGAAGCGGAGAGGACGUGGCGGCCCGUCUAUCAGCGCCAGCCAGACUGAGGAGGGCGGGCCUAGGCACGGCUCGGGUGCCGUCAGUUGCGUAGAGCUGCGUGUGUCAGUCUCCCCUGCCCCUCUGUCUGGAAGACUUUCUUCUGGGGAGGGCAAGAGGAUCGACUGCUGCUGCUCGCUGUGGUUCAGCCGCUCAGCAACAUCACCGCCCUGAUCAGAUCCCUCCCACAUGAGGGAGACUAACAGUUACCAAGGAGCCAUGCAACCAGCACUGGGGAGGCUGAGGCAGGAGAACUGCCACAAGUUCAAGGCCAGCCUGGGCUACCUAGUUCAAGAUCAGCCUGACUCUUAGAAACGCCCACCCGAGGCUGGCAGCACACAGAAGCCCUCCCCACCAGGCUUGUGGGUUUUAGGGUUCUCUUCAGAGCUGCCCCGUAUCAGUUUAAAGGGUGAGCCAGCCAAGGGCGCCUGCCCAGCGUGGGACCCUCACAGAAAGACCUGCAGGACUCCUCCAGGUGGCCCUGGCCUGCAGCAUGGGUGUCACCCGGAGCUGGCUGAGGAGGCAUGUUCUUCCCCAGCCCAGACUGCCCUCCUGGUGGUGCUCCGAGGCUUUUUCCCUUGGCCGCGCUGCCCGUGAGCAGGGCUGGCAGGGAGGCGAGUGGGGCCUCCCACUGCACAGAAGCCCCUGAGCCCCCACCCUAACCUGUGGCCUUCCCAACAAGAGGGUGGCGGGAGGACAGGCCCAGCGCUCCUUCGCCAUCCCUGUUGAGCUGUCUCCACCAAGAGCACCUUCGCUGCAGAACCAGCAGGAAGGCAGCAGGAGGAGAGGGGAACCAAGGGACCCAGGUGGAAGUGGCAGCCAGGGCUGUGGGCAGCAUGGCCACAGGCUCGCGUCCUGACCUUUGGUUCCCAUCUGUGGGCCCAGCACCCAAGAUGUGCCAACCCGAGUCACCUCAAGAAGGGAAAGACUUCGCCGUGAGCCAGCAUGGAGGUGUGCGCCUGUCGUCCUGGCACUUGCAGCUGAGUCCAGGGCCAGCUGGGGAGACAUAGUGAGACCCCUUUGCAAAGACGGGUUCACAGCAGAGCAGGAGACUGAGCAGUGCACUCCCCUGAAGGGAGGCUUCAUUUGUGCAUGCCCUCCCUCAGGAAGCUCAUAGGUGACCCAGGCAGCAUUUGUUCCUCAGCAGAGCAGGGGCCCCGGAGAGGUUGACCCAGCUGUGCUGUCCUGGCUGCCCUGGUGUCCUUGGCGAGCUCAGCACAUUGCCCUUUCAUGGUGGUUUUGACUUUGGGGAAGAGCCAGGAGUCGCCAGGAGUUUCCCAUAAGGAGGUGCCACAUCUGGGGAAUAAGGUGGAUGAGGACAUGGCAUCAUGGUUUCAUGAGCUGCCUUUCCGCUGGGGGGCGCUCGGCAGCAGUCACUAUUUUUGGUCACACCUAAAGAAGCCCAGGAAAGAGGACUCCAGAGCUGCUGCAGAGUGUCAGGAACACAGGAGAAGCGUGGUCAAGGGGAAGAGAAAUAUUUUGAGGGGGUUUCGUGGCAAUGUGUCUUACAUUGUACAUUUUUUAAAAAUUUAAGCAGUCACCGUAUAUUUUGAUCACUGCAUAUAUACUUUAUUCACAUUUCUCCAACUGUCCCUCUAAUGCCCUUUUCUAUUCCAGGAUCCCAUGUGCCACCAGUUGUCACAUCUCUUUAGUCGCCUCCAAUUUGUGACUGUUUUUCAGUUUUUCUCUAGUUUUCAUAACCUUGACUUCACCUUAUUUGAAAUGGUAGUGAAAUCCAUGAAACAUGAGAUAAGCCCUUUGAAGCAAGCCAUCCUGGGGCUUAAAUUCAUCCAUACUGCUAUGCAAGCACCUCUUCCGACUGGAGGCCGGCACGUUCCACAGAAAAGCCCUCAGCUUGUGCUUGUCAGGUGCUUUCUGUGGGUCUGAGCCCCGCUGCAGUGUUGCGUCCUGGCACCCUCAUGGGGAGGGGUGCGAUCCUGGGCUAGGGUGGUGUCCAUGUCUCCCUCCUGUGAAGCUACUGCUGCUUCCCCCUUGGUACUGCGCAAGUCUCUUGUAAGGAGAUGCUCUGAGAUCUUUAACUUCCAGUUCUGUUCAAGAAAUGUAAAUCUGAGACUGCCAGAGAGCCCUGCAGUCAGGUUCCAGUCGCCUGCCCAGUAUACGACACAGGCCUGAGAAAUAAACACACUGAGACAGAGGUAGGAGAGAAAGCGGGGCCCGGACGACCAAUGUCAGCGCAACCGACACAGGCCCUGGCCAGUCCCAGGUGCUGACUUUUACUGGGAAUCCAUUGGGGUAAAGGCCAGCCACGUGCAGGUUCUAUGGAAAUUAAGGUAAACAAGGCUCAUAAAGGACAAGACAAAGCAUUCUUGAAUCAGGAACAGAAUACACAAAAUCUAUGCUUGUAACUGGAAAACUGUCCUUCUAGUCUGAAGGUUUUAGUUGUGGGAACGGAAUUUGGGUGUGAGUUACUCUGACCUGGGCACGUAGGCUUCAGCCAGGCUCACUCCUAUAAACAACCGGUUGUGGGGUUAGCUCCUCACAGCCUGCACUGCUUUGGGCAUAAUCCGUAUUAGGGUUCUCUACACAAGACAGUGUGUGCCUCAGCUUCUGUGUGCGUAACAUAAAACGAUUGUUCCAGUGUAGAAGGCUCUUGUGGGGAACAGGAAACUUAGAGGAGUAGGUGCACAAGACCUUUCCGAGGAGGACUUGAGCCGUGCAAAUGAGCGCACCCGAGCCCGGCCAGCUUCCGGCCAGUCCCCUUUGCGUGCAGAAGAGGAGGAGAAGCCGAGACUGGAGGGCGUUGCGCCCCUGAGGGGCUGUGGCCUGGCUGUGUCCUUAGCCCCUUUGGGCUCCCCUGCCCGGCACCCUCUUCUGUGGCCUGGUGCCAUGUCACAGCCAGCAUGCAGAGCCAGGGCAUCGAGCGCCUGCAGCACAAGGACCGGCAGCAGCAGGCACGCAGCUGGCAGCCGCUCAAGGAGACCUUCGGCGGGGACUUCUCCCUGAACUGGUGCAACCCCUUCUCAGGGCAGCCAGAGAUCCCCCCCGACAAGGACUUGGUGCGGCAGGUGUCACAGUCAGACACGGACGACACCUUG